AAGACCGUACUUGAACAGGAUCAUUUCUACAGUACGCUCGUUUCUACUUGGUUUUCCAACGUAGACAAUCCUCAAUGCGCUCGAUGAUCUUGUCUGGUUCCUGUCGUUGACUCGGGAUGUCAGCCGAGUGUCUUGUCGCGGCCUCUUUCUUUGGUCGUGAUGGCCUCAGCGUUGAUGAACGUCCGCUGCCGCAUUCCACGGCAACGUGAACGACUUGGAGCGAUAUGAGAGCGC
rnacentral:snoRNA from 1 species